rnacentral:rRNA from 1 species
UUAGAGUUUGAUCAUGGCUCAGAACGAACGCUGGCGGCAUGCUUAACACAUGCAAGUCGAACGGCUCCGGGGCUUGCCCCGGGGCAGUGGCAGACGGGUGAGUAACACGUGGGAACGUACCCCUCGGUUCGGAAUAACGGCCGGAAACGGCCGCUAAUACCGGAUACGUCCGUGUCCUUGGAGGGCGCGGAGAAAGGUUUACCGCCGAGGGAGCGGCCCGCGUACGAUUAGGUAGUUGGUGGGGUGAGAGCCUACCAAGCCGAUGAUCGUUAGCUGGUCUGAGAGGAUGAACAGCCACACCGGGACUGAGACACGGCCCGGACUCCUACGGGAGGCAGCAGUGGGGAAUUUUGGACAAUGGGGGAAACCCUGAUCCAGCAAUGCCGCGUGAGUGAAGAAGGCCUUCGGGUUGUAAAGCUCUUUUGUCCGUGACGAUGAUGACGGUAACGGACGAAUAAGUCCCGGCUAACUUCGUGCCAGCAGCCGCGGUAAUACGAAGGGGACUAGCGUUGUUCGGAAUAACUGGGCGUAAAGGGCGCGUAGGCGGUGCCGUGCGUCAGAUGUGAAAGCCCCCGGCUCAACCGGGGAAUGCCAUCUGAUACGGCGGCACUAGAGAACAAGAGGGGAGAACGGAAUUGCGUGUGGAGAGGUGAAAUUCGCAGAUAUACGCAGGAACACCGGCGGCGAAGGCGGUUCUCUGGCUUGGUUCUGACGCUGAGGCGCGAAAGCGUGGGGAGCAAACAGGAUUAGAUACCCUGUAGUCCACGCCGUAAACGAUGAGUGCCGGAUGUCGGGGGGAGACCCUCGGUGUCGCAGCAAACGCGUUAAGCACUCCGCCUGGGGAGUACGGUCGCAAGAUUAAAACUCAAAGGAAUUGACGGGGACCCGCACAAGCGGUGGAGUAUGUGGUUUAAUUCGAAGCUACGCGCAAAACCUUACCGGCCCUUGACAUGGGACGUUAGGAACCGGAGACGGUUCCGUCACUUCGGGUGGCGUCCGCACAGGUGCUGCAUGGCUGUCGUCAGCUCGUGUCGUGAGAUGUUGGGUUAAGUCCCGCAACGAGCGCAACCCCCGCCGUCAGUUGCCACCGGGUAAAGCCGGGCACUCUGACGGGACUGCCGGUGACAAGCCGGAUGAAGGUGGGGAUGACGUCAAGUCCUCAUGGCCCUUACGGGCCGGGCUACACACGUACUACAAUGGCGGCUACAAAGGGUCGCGAAGGGGCAACCCGGAGCAAAUCCCGUAAAGGCCGCCUCAGUUCGGAUUGUCCUCUGCAACUCGAGGGCAUGAAGUCGGAAUCGCUAGUAAUCGCGGAUCAGCAUGCCGCGGUGAAUACGUUCUCGGGUCUUGUACACACUGCCCGUCACACCAUGGGAACCGGUUUUACCUUAAGCCGGCAGGCUGACCUUCGGGGGGCCGCCGACCACGGUAGGGUCGAUGACUGGGGUGAAGUCGUAACAAGGUAACCGUAG